rnacentral:snRNA from 1 species
AUUUUCUAAGAUUUAAAAACAUA